CUACCUGCUCAGCCUUCCUUUGUGCACUCAGAUAAUUCUCUAAACAGGUGCAGACGGUGCACUUGGUGUGCAUCGUGGGGACACGCUGGUAUGAGACAGGGGCCUUGAUUUUAUUAUUUGCUGCAUUUGUGCAAUCUUACACUAUGUUUGUAAGCGGCUAUUUUCAGCAAUUAUGCAAUGAAGACAGCGACUGCUGUUGUGGUUUAAAAUGCUGCUCCAAUGGCUGUGGGUAUGAGUGCAUGACACCAGUCAUAGUGAAGCCAGGUUACUGUGGACAGCUCAUGAGUGGGGGAAUUUCUACAAAGGUGAUGGUUAUUCUUCAGGUGACCAAAAGUGCUGCCCUUCCUACUGUGGUAAUUUCUGCAAAGACCUCAUCUAAUCAGACAGUAGUCCAUGGAUAUGCAUUAAAUAUCCUUGACUGCAAUUGUUUGCAUUCAGUAAUGAAAUAAACAACUGGAAGCUUG